CCUACGGGUGGCAGCAGUGAGGAAUAUUGGUCAAUGGGCGCGAGCCUGAACCAGCCAAGUAGCGUGUAGGAUGACUGCCCUACGGGUUGUAAACAUCUUUUAUAAAGGAAUAAAGUGAGGCACGUGUGCCUUUUUGUAUGGACUUUAUGAAUAAGGAUCGGCUAACUCAGUGCCAGCAGCCGCGGUAAUACGGAGGAUCCGAGCGUUAUGCGGAUUUAUUGGGUGUAAAGGGAGCGUAGAUGGGUUGUUGAGUCAGUUGUGAAAUUUUGCGGCUCAACCGUAAAAUUGCAAUGGAUACUGGCAGCCUUGAGUACAGUUGAGGGAGGUGGAAUUCGUGGUGUAGCGGUGAAAUGCUUAGAGAUCACGAAGAACUCCGAUUGCGAAGGCAGCUUACUAAACUGCCACUGACAUUGAUGCGCGAAAGUGUGGGUAUCAAACAGGAUUAGAUACCCCAGUAGUC
rnacentral:rRNA from 1 species